rnacentral:miRNA from 1 species
UACAUUAUUUUUCAAUUUUUUUUUUCUGAAUAAAAGUAUAACAUCCAUAUUUUUAUUCAGAAAAAAAAAAUUGAAAAAUAAUGUA